UGCAAGUCGAACGAUGAAAGAGGAGCUUGCUCCUCUGGAUUAGUGGCGAACGGGUGAGUAACACGUGAGCAAUGUGCCCUUGACUCUGGAAUAAGCGCUGGAAACGGCGUCUAAUACUAGAUACGACCCUCGGAGGCAUCUCCUGGGGGUGGAAAGAAUUUCGGUCAAGGAUCAGCUCACGGCCUAUCAGUUAGUUGGUGAGGUAACGGCUCACCAAGACUACGACGGGUAGCCGGCCUGAGAGGGUGACCGGCCACACUGGGACUGAGACACGGCCCAGACUCCUACGGGAGGCAGCAGUGGGGAAUAUUGCACAAUGGGCGCAAGCCUGAUGCAGCAACGCCGCGUGAGGGACGACGGCCUUCGGGUUGUAAACCUCUUUUAGCAGGGAAGAAGCGAAAGUGACGGUACCUGCAGAAAAAGCACCGGCUAACUACGUGCCAGCAGCCGCGGUAAUACGUAGGGUGCAAGCGUUGUCCGGAAUUAUUGGGCGUAAAGAGCUCGUAGGCGGUUUGUCACGUCUGCUGUGAAAUCCCGAGGCUCAACCUCGGGCUUGCAGUGGGUACGGGCAGACUAGAGUGCGGUAGGGGAGAUUGGAAUUCCUGGUGUAGCGGUGGAAUGCGCAGAUAUCAGGAGGAACACCGAUGGCGAAGGCAGAUCUCUGGGCCGUUACUGACGCUGAGGAGCGAAAGCAUGGGGAGCAAACAGGCUUAGAUACCCUGGUAGUCCAUGCCGUAAACGUUGGGAACUAGAUGUGGGGACCAUUCCACGGUCUCCGUGUCGUAGCUAACGCAUUAAGUUCCCCGCCUGGGGAGUACGGCCGCAAGGCUAAAACUCAAAGGAAUUGACGGGGCCCGCACAAGCGGCGGAGCAUGCGGAUUAAUUCGAUGCAACGCGAAGAACCUUACCAAGGC
rnacentral:rRNA from 1 species